rnacentral:lncRNA from 1 species
UUUUUUUUUAGGUCAUUAGCUAUUGUUAGUGUUAGUGUAUUUUUUGUGUGGCCCAAGACAAUCUUCUUCCAGUGUGGCCCAGGGAAGCCAAAAAAUUGGACACACUUGAUGUAAACAUUUCAAGAAAAUUCAGACUAUAUGAUCACUCAAGACAGCCGAUUCACCAGCCUUCUGAAGGGAAGACUAAGCAUAUUCCUAUAUUGAAGGAAAGAUAUCCAUGAUGGUGAUGCCACUAAAUAGAAGCAUCUUGGAUCUUACUAUUUGGAGUAGAACCACACAAGGAGAAGCCAUCCAACCUACAUAAGACUAUGACUGGCUUCUGACAAAAUCUAAACUGCACACUGUGGACUCGAGUCGAU